rnacentral:rRNA from 1 species
CCUGCCGAAUGAAUUAGCCCUGAAAAUGAAUGACGCUGAAGCGAGCAGCCGAAACUAUGCCGUUUGAACAAUAUAUGCUUUCAGAUGAGUAGGAGGAACGUGGCGGUUGUAUAGAAGCGUAUGCGCGAGCAUGCGUGGAACGGCCGCUAGUGCAGAUCUUGGUGGUAGUAGCAAAUAUUCAAAUGAAAUCCUUGAAGGGCGACGCGGGGAAGGGUUCCACGCGAACAUUGAUUGAGUGUGGGUGAGUCGUUCCUAAGCCAAGUGGUAAUUCUUGGUUUUUUAAAAAAUCUGGCGAAAGGGAAAUAAGUUGAUAUUCUUAUACACGGAUGUGGUCGCGGUGACGCGAGACUGUGGCGGUGAAUCCGUUGGUUGCCCUGGGCAGAGAUAUCUUUUCUGUUUAACGAAGUCUGAUUGUACUCUAUGGAAUCCGCUUGUCGGGAGAAAUAGGUAUGUCACGGCAAAGCGCUAGGUUUUUUUCUGGCGUCCAAAGUGCGACUGGCGGACCUUGAAAAGCUGUCUGCAGGCUGUGAAAAAGUUGGUUUUUUUUUGCAGUGAGAUAUACCACGCCGUAACGUACCGAUAACCGCAUCAGGUCCCCAAGGUGAACAGCCUCUGCUCGAUAUGAUUAUUGUAAGUAAGGGAAGUCGGCAAAUUAGACCCGUAACUUUGGGAAAAGGGUUGGCUCUAGUGCUGCGUAGGAGUGGUUGCUGGGGUGUGGCGGAAAUUGUGUUGCUGGAGCGGACGCAGCUGCGGAGCAAUCUGUGGUGGUGGCUGAGCUGGUGAUGUGGUUUUUGUUGCUCCUGGUGGCGCCUACAGCAUGCGGCAAACUAGAACUGCAACGGACAAAGGGAAUCCGACUGUUUAAUUAAAACAAAGCAUU